UUUUCCGUAGGGUGAACCUGCGGAGGGAUCAUUACACAAAGAGGAAGGCGGGCUGGAACCUCUCGGGGUUACAGCCUUGCUGAAUUAUUCACCCUUGUCUUUUGCGUACUUCUUGUUUCCUUGGUGGGUUCGCCCACCACUAGGACAAACAUAAACCUUUUGUAAUUGCAAUCAGCGUCAGUAACAAAUUAAUAAUUACAACUUUCAACAACGGAUCUCUUGGUUCUGGCAUCGAUGAAGAACGCAGCGAAAUGCGAUAAGUAGUGUGAAUUGCAGAAUUCAGUGAAUCAUCGAAUCUUUGAACGCACAUUGCGCCCUUUGGUAUUCCAAAGGGCAUGCCUGUUCGAGCGUCAUUUGUACCCUCAAGCUUUGCUUGGUGUUGGGCGUCUUGUCUCUAGCUUUGCUGGAGACUCGCCUUAAAGUAAUUGGCAGCCGGCCUACUGGUUUCGGAGCGCAGCACAAGUCGCACUCUCUAUCAGCAAAGGUCUAGCAUCCAUUAAGCCUUUUUUUCAACUUUGACCUCGGAUCAGGUACCAAUACCAACUGAACUUAAGCAUAUCAAUAAGCGGAGGAA
rnacentral:rRNA from 1 species